UCUCCGUAGGUGAACCUGCGGAGGGAUCAUUACAGAGUUCAUGCCCUACCGGGUAGAUCUCCCACCCUAUGUUAUUAUUACUUUGUUGCUUUGGCGGGCCGUUAGGCUCCGGCCCGACUACCGGCCCCGGCUGGUAAGCGCCCGCCAGAGGACCCAAAACCCUGAAUAUUAGUGUCGUCUGAGUACUAUAUAAUAGCUAAAACUUUCAACAACGGACCUCUUGGUUCUG
rnacentral:misc_RNA from 1 species